GACGAACGCUGGCGGCGUGCUUAACACAUGCAAGUCGAACGGAAAGGCCCUGCUUUUGUGGGGUGCUCGAGUGGCGAACGGGUGAGUAACACGUGAGUAACCUGCCCUUGACUUUGGGAUAACUUCAGGAAACUGGGGCUAAUACCGGAUAGGAGCUCCUGCUGCAUGGUGGGGGUGGGAAAGUUUCGGCGGUUGGGGAUGGACUCGCGGCUUAUCAGCUUGUUGGUGGGGUAGUGGCUUACCAAGGCUUUGACGGGUAGCCGGCCUGAGAGGGUGACCGGCCACAUUGGGACUGGGAUACGGCCCAGACUCCGACGGGAGGCAGCAGUGGGGAAUGUUGCACAAUGGGCGGAAGCCUGAUGCAGCAACGCCGCGUGCGGGAUGACGGCCUUCGGGUUGUAAACCGCUUUCGCCUGUGACGAAGCGUGAGUGACGGUAAUGGGUAAAGAAGCACCGGCUAACUACGUGC
rnacentral:rRNA from 1 species